rnacentral:rRNA from 1 species
GAUGAACGCUGGCGGCGUGCCUAAUACAUGCAAGUCGAGCGAACGGACGAGAAGCUUGCUUCUCUGUUGUUAGCGGCGGACGGGUGAGUAACCCGUGGAUAACCUCCCUAUAAGACUGGGAUAACUUCGGGAAACCGGAGCUAAUACCGGAUAAUAUUUUGAACCGCAUGGUUCAAAAGUGAAAGACGGUUUUGCUGUCCCUUAUAGAUGGAUCCGCGCUGCAUUAGCUAGUUGGUAAGGUAACGGCUUACCAAGGCAACGAUGCAUAGCCGACCUGAGAGGGUGAUCGGCCACACUGGAACUGAGACACGGUCCAGACUCCUACGGGAGGCAGCAGUAGGGAAUCUUCCGCAAUGGGCGAAAGCCUGACGGAGCAACGCCGCGUGAGUGAUGAAGGUCUUCGGAUCGUAAAACUCUGUUAUUAGGGAAGAACAUAUGUGUAAGUAACUGUGCACAUCUUGACGGUACCUAAUCAGAAAGCCACGGCUAACUACGUG